rnacentral:lncRNA from 1 species
CAUGCUUGCUAGACUUUGAGCCACACAUUUACUAUUUACUGCUUAUGAGCAUUGAGUGUGGUCAAGCUGUGUAGACCCUUAGGAGCUUGUCAUGUGGUUAAAUCAAGAUUUCACUUGCACGUUCACUCAUAUAUGCUACUUCUACUCCGGAAGUACCAUCCACAUAUAUCCAUCCAUUUCCAUCUCCAGAACCACCUAAAAAUAUUCUACUCCUAAUCCGGGAGAGAAUAACCAAAAAUAUUUCUGUUUUCCCUUGUGAAAUAAAUGCUCAAGUUAUCUUGUUACUACCACUUGCUAUAUUAUCUCAUGAGAUGAGUGCUCUAAAAAAAAGAGAGAGAAAUACGAGAAAAUAAAAAGGAGCAAGUGCUCGGAACCUCGAAAGAAAAGAGAAAGUGAGACGAGAGGUAAAAAUGGACAAGUGUCCGACGGUAGAAUUAGGGGUGCAAGAUACCCACCUGAGAGAAAAGAAAAAAAUAUAUAUAUAGAGCAUCUCAGUCUCCUCAUAAAGUUUCAAAAAGCAAGAAAGGUAUGUUUCCCCUCAAAGAGCAAAGUAGAAUUAGACUUCCACAACCAUUGUUUUCACCAUUGUUAUCACCAUCAUCACCAUACAUCAUUCAUUCGCCACACAUGCACAUCUUGAUUAAACUUAUUGGCUUGUUACUUUGGAUCCAUGGUUUGACUAUGCAAUAAAUGUCUUGUAAGUAUGUAUACUUUAUCUCCCACCUAUGAGCUCCAGAUAUUAAAGCCUUAUUAGAGUAGGGUGAGAGAGAAGGCAAUGUCACUAUGCCUUAUACCACAAAUACUACAUAUCUUGAGAGAAGGCAUAUACCAUCACUGCCUUGGUAAGGAUCCAGAAAUACCACAAAAGAGACAUUUAGAGAGUCAUACAAGGAAUCUCUGAGUUUUAUUUGAAAAUCUGCAAAACCCCCAGAGCUAUAGCUGAUCAAGAAUAAGAGACAUAGCACUUGACUAAGACUGUUCUAUCUUUUAAUCACUCAAGACAGAAGUGACAGUUACAAGUCCCAUAGUGGAGGUAAAGUAAGUAAGUUUGAAGUCUUGACAGUUUACUCUAACUCAGAGAUGAGAUCUUAUUUAAAAAGCAUGUGUACCGUCAAAUUUUUGAAGAUAUUGCAACAACUUAUGAUCCAUAGCUGAGUCUAUCCUUGCUCAGGGACGAGCAAGAGGUAAGUUUGGGGGAGUUUGUUGACGGACCUUAAGUAUCAAAUUUAAUUAUCAAAUAAAUAAAGAAAAGGAUCCAAAUGAAAUCAACAUCUAGACUUAGGGUUUUAUCUGACAGAAUUCCACGAGUUUUGUGUUUGUCUAUUUCUGCAGGGAGUUAUCAGGAAAUACGAAAGAAAGGCCCACAUGUCGGGAUUACAUAGAGAUAUUAACAUGCCGCGCAAUUAUCUUACAUCUAGAAGACUCCAGAAGCCACGAGACCGAAGCGGAGGCGAAACGGGGCCAGAGGCAGGGCGCCCGCCCUCCUGCCCUGGGCGCUCGCCCACCUCCUGAGUCCAAUCAGGACUCUGCUUUGCGGGAGAUUUCCACCAACCUAAAGGAUGAAUCUAAACCAUACAAUCUAUGUCGGUUUGAUCCAACGGCCCAUAUUCACUUGAAGGGACUAUAAAACCAGACCCCCUGGGCCCUAGAGGAGAGAGCCUCUCAACCCUAAUUCAUUGUUCCAUCAAGGGAGAAGAAGCCUUUGAUCAAGAUUAGAGCCACCACAUCAAUUAGAUAUCUAGAUUAGCAUAGCUACAUAGGAUUAGAACUAGAAGGAGUCAAUCUUCGAUUGGUUUCCGGAUCUGUCAAGAGGAUUCUUGGUAAUUCUCUAAUUGUGCUUCUAAUUGCUUUCUAAUUAUCUUUGUUCUUCAAUAUUAUGAAUAUGACUUUGUUCUACUUCAAUAUAUUGCUUAUGACUUUGCUCUACUUGCUUAUAUUCAAGAUUAUAUUGUUCUUAGUUUAUCAUAGUUAUGUACUUGGCUUAGUUAGAUUCGAUCUAUAUACAUGCUUAGGAUCGUAUAGUAUUUAUCCAUCGGAUCCAUGGGUAAAUGAUAGAUAUUGUGUAGGCGUGGUGCUUAUACCGUACUUAUCUGCGAUUGUACCCAAUAUGCCAGAUCGUGGGGUGGUUCGUGAUAGUGACAGCUUCAUUGAUUCUUAUAUAGUCCCCCUCUCGUGUAUUGGGAUGGCAGAGCAACAUUAUUACAGGGGAGUGAUUGCUAUGUUUCUCAUAUUCCUUGCUAAUAUCACUAUGCAUGGGCGUAGUCUUGUCUCGCAAUGAUUGCUAAGUAUGCUUGCACUAACUAUGAUAAUGCUAGACUAUAUAGUUGAGAAUAACUUAGGGAAUAUUCUUGUAGUUCGUUCUAAUACCAUGCUAAUGACUUUCUAGAGUAUCUAAUUGAGGUGCUUAUCAUAUUUAUUAUGUGGCUAGAUCAGAUUAGUUAUCCUUGUCACUAUUAUUAUUUCAUAUAUCUUUUAUGUGACACUUAUCCCUGUAUGAAGAGUUAGAUAUAAUGUUCUCAAUUAUACAUGCAAUGAUAGAUGCUCAAUCUCAUAUUCUAUUCUGUAAUCAAUAUUGAUGAUUGCUAAUCCCUUCCCAGUGGUAAAAAAAUAAAUAACGAUACCUGGAAUACUUCCCGGUUAAAAUGCUGCAUCGGUAUUAAUCUAUGCGCUUGCAGAUCCCAUUCAUUAUUUAUUUAGAAGAGUAAUUGCAUAUUUCAAUACCGCGUCUCUCAUGUCAUGCUGGGGAUGACAACUCGGCUUAAGUGGUAUGAGGGAUAGGUUUGGCAUUUUUGGCACCGUUACUAGAAUUAGAAAUCUGUCUACUUUUGGUAGUGAUGUUAAGAAUACCGAACAGUGUCUAGAUUCUGUGAGCCUCCCCAAUAGAACAGUAGAUCAUCCUUACCAAGGUUAGAACGAGAGUGCGGUUGUAGUCUUCUCUAUACAUCGCUCACAUCGAAUCACAUUGUUUGUAGCCUAAAGGGUAGUAGCAAUAGAUUUGGUUAGUCAAAUGCACGCUUUCUCCUAGUGGUAAAAAUAUAAAUAUGAUACUCUAGAUAACCUCCCGGGUGAAGUGCUCACCGAUAUCCGUGCGCUUGCGGAUCAUUUCCUGAUGGCGUUACCAAAUAUCAACAAGCAUUUCUGGCGCCGUUGUCGGGGAGAAAGACGGUUUGCUGAGGUAACUUUUAGUCUUGCUAUUAUCUUGUAUUAUACUUUUAUACUUUUAUUCUUUUAUCUUUUUAUUUUUUCCAGUGGAUAACUCAAAUUCCACAACUAUUAUUGAAUUUUUUGCACCUUCGAAGACCAGCCAUAGACCAUGGGAGUCAACAAGUCCUUUCUUUGCCCCUAAAUAUGAUCUGUGUCUGGAGUUGAUUGCAAUAGGUCAAAACCAACCCUUUUCUGUAGCCGAGGUCCUAUCUUUUAAUCAAGAAGACAAUGAACUUUUAGCUACACCUAGGGAAUCUUUUAAUCUUUCUAUAAAUUUUGGUUUAAACGUAGCCCUAGAAGACCAUGUUUUUUCUCGAUAUUUUCACAUUGGUCUUGAUCGUAUAACCAUUGGUAGAGUUUUUCUUUCUUUAUCUAUUAGUAAAGCAAGGUAUGUCUUCAUUCGUGGACAUCCUUCUUGCACUAGUCUUCAUAGAAAAUUCCUAGAGAUAGAGAAGGAAUCAUCUCCCAGACGAGGUAAGGAUGUUUCAAUAGCCAAUUUCCAAACAUUUCAAUCCCAUGAUACGGCUAUCCAACCCAAACAAGUAGAGCUCCAAAAUAAUCUAAGAGAAGAAGAAAUUCUACCUUAGGAAAUUCAUUUUGGGAUGAGCUUAAACUUCCUGCUUCAUAAGAGACCUUUGAGUGCAUAUAGUCUGAACCUUCCUAAGAAGGGAUCUCUUAGAAAGCAUCUCAAAUCCAAUCCCUUUGAUGGACAUCUAGAAAGACUCAAGGAUGGCAUCUUAAGUGAUGCAAUAGAAGGAGAGCGAAGCCAUUUAGAAGACAAUCUCAUCUUCUCCCCUUCUACGCACACUUUUGAUGACUCGUUCGAACCUAUCUUUAAACCCAUCAUUGAGCCUAAUAAUUUCUACUAUGCUCUUUCUCUUGAACCUCCUGAUGAUCCUAUGAAUCUCUCUAGACAUUCCAUGCAUAUGAGUCACCAAGACCACAAGGAGGAUCGAGAAGAGCAACAUCAAUGGCUAGAGGGCAUUAAAAAUCCAUGUGCUAUCACCAUUGAAUGGAUAGAUAAAACAAACUUGAGAGACAAUCCUAGAGGAAUUUUAAGUAUUCAUGAAGAAUCAUCCUUGGAGUUUGAGAAUGAGAGAAACAACAGUGAGCAUGGAAGUUAUUUCAUAAAUACCUCACCAAGUCCUUGCUUAUAUAAAACAUCUCCACAAUCAAUUGGUCUCUCCAUCCUUACCAUAUUUGAGAUCUCUAACCCCCUCUUCCUUUCUAUUUAUAAAAACUUUAAAGGGGUGGUUAUCGAUGCAUAUGUCUAUAAUAAAUAUUGCAGAUAUCGUUGAGUCAAUCUUGAUAUAGGCACGCUUAGGUCGGUGUUGGAGGGGAAACCACUUCACCAACAUAAUUUGAUGGUUUCCCAGGGACAAGCUUAGUGUCCUAAAAUAAGCACUUAUCAGAUCAUAACAUGAUCUUCUAAUUAUUUGAAUUUUGCAAAAUUCAAGCUUGGGGGAAAUACUUUACAUAAAAACAUCCUUUGUCAUGUUGCUAUGUUGGUUGUCCCUACCUUUGAGACAUGCUCAAUUUGUUAAAUACUAGUCACACUACUUCAUCUCCACUUGAGUAGAUCUCUAUAAAUGCUCUCAUGCUAUCUUUAUUUGCUUUAGUAUAUGUCUAGGUUUGGAGUAGCUUCAUUUAUCUCUUAAUUAAGCAUGGUGCUUAGUUUGGGAAUGAUGAUCUUACUUCCAAGGGAUUUUAAAUUAAGCAUGGUGCUUAGGUGAAAAUGCCCUUCUAAAUCAAAUUAGACAUGGUGUCUAGGUUGAUUUUUGAGCCAAUACUAUGCUAUAGUAGAUAUUGGAUAUUUUGUUGGACUAACCCCUGCAGGAAAACUUUCAAUAUCAACCUGGGAAGUUAUGAGAUACAAACUCAUUGGAGACACAUGAAGUUUAACGAUUUGCACAAGGAAGACAUAGCUCAUUCAUCAUAGAGAGAUGAUCCAUGGAACGAGACAAACAGUGCUACAAACACGAUGCACAACCGCUAAGAAAGGAAAGCUUCCACAAGGAGAUAUUGUACCAUCACUAUUCAAGUAAGGUAACAUCUUAAGGUACUUGACUAUCACUUUUAUAAGCUUCUCCUUGGUUCUGGCAUUCACAAUAAUAAAGACAAACAUAAACCAACCCAAUUAAUUCAAUAUGUUUAGUCCUUUAAUCUUUGUUCUUAGUACUACCUUCGUGAUCCCACACUCCUAAUCAUAUAAGCUAAAAUAUUGCACAUUCAGUCUAUGGAAGAUAUAAACAUAAAUAUAGACAGAUUAUCUUUCCAUUAGGUCGAGCAAUCUGAUCUGACAAAUGUUUUAAAUGCUAUACUCAUGAUCUUAUUAUCCAUCAACUUUGUCUUGCUCACCAUGCUUAAGGUUAGUGAACAACAAACACACUUUUGGUUCUGUUGGUGUUUUUCACCAACAGAGCCCAUGCACUUGAUCUCUGCCUUGUCUCUAUGAGCUGGUACACUUCGAGCAUAAUACGAAGGAGUUUUACAACUCCCAGACUCCACCAAGUGAAGAACCUAGAUCUAUGAGCACAAACACACUGGAGAUACUGGACACCCAGGCAAUCAUGGCCCUGAGAUGCUUGAGGACGUAAACUACAUCAACAACUACUACUACUACUACAACUGUCCUUAACAAAAUUAAGACUUCAUGGUGAUAGAGUCUGGUACUGAUGAGAGGGCACCCAUCAUCCUAGGGAGGCCAUUACUGAACACCUCGGGAGUUGUCAUCUACGCUUGUACUGCCAAGAUUAGUUUCUACAUCAAGGGGAAGAAGGAGACGUUUUCCUUCAAGAACAAAACUACACAAAUUUUAGAGCAAUCCCGACAUGAACCAAGGAAGAGGAUCAACAGGAGGAACAUGAACAAGCAAAUGUGGACCGAGUCAGCUAAGAUGGUCACUGCAGCUCAAGGAGGUCAAGAUCGUGGACUUAAGUCACCGUUCCUGACCAAAAAGGACAACCCACGUUAUUGAUAUGGGAGAAGAUGAGUACGAUCCACCCAUCAUCCUUGGGAGACCGUUGCUCGGCACCGUUAAAGCAAUCGUCUACAUUGGAACCGGAGAAGUCCACAUGUAUUUCCCCUCUGAGAAGGUACGCAACUAUUUUACUGACCUUAACUAUAUAGUUGAAGACUCUAAGCAGGUUAGGACAAGAAGAAGACGACGCAACCGCAACCAGAGGAGGCAAAUCAUCAAGGACGGAUGGGCACUACGAAGGAGAAGUGGUAAGGCCUAAAGACAUACAGCUUGAACAGAACUGUCCUGAGGAGACCGUAGCACCGAGUCAGGUAUGGAGAGAGAAGAUAGUUAUACACGAAGAGGAGGCGCCGCUGGAACCACCGACUACGCCAUCCAGCGAAUCCUGAGACGACUGAGAAAACGGAGAGUCCUGUUCGGAGGACUUAAAAAUACCGAACCCCUUGCCAAGAAGUAAACUUAGUAGUUAUCCUUUUCCCUUCAAUUAUUUAAAAUAGUUUGCUUAGUUAAUUAGGUUCAUAUCAUCUCGAAAAGAAAAUAAAAAUGUUAAAAAAUAGUAAGCCCCAUGUGAGUAUGCUCAUGGCAUAAAACCCAUAAGUACAUUCACUGUGGUGGCGUAAAAAUAAAAUAAAUAUAUUCCUGUCCUAUAAAAAUGAAAAUAUGCUAAAAUAAAUUUAUGAUCCUACUAAAGAGAGUAACAUUUAUUGAGGGGGCCCAACAUGAUAAAGGCUAGAUAUUUAUGCUAACGCUUAACUAGUUCCACAAAGCUUUAUUGUCUAUUUGAGCUCCACAGAAUUCAAGGAUCAAAGAAGACUAGCCAGCGGAGGACAUAGUAAUCGCUGUCAGGGUGCUGCCGACAUUCAAAUACACCUCUGCCACCUGCUAGCUACAUCAGAAGAAAUUACGUCAAAAUCCAGCUUGGGGGAGAGCACCCCCGUUUAUCCAACUAAGUGUUCUACUCAUGUUUAUACUUUACACAAAUAAUAAAAAGAUGCAUAAUCAUAAAAACCCAAAUAAAAAUUCUAUGUUUAUAUAUAUAUCUUUGCUUAGUUUGUUAAAUAAAUAAAUAAAUAAAGUUUGCUAUGAACUCUCAUGAUAAGCUCUCACAUGGAAAAGAUGAAUAGUUGCUCUGCCAUGACUAGUUCUUAAAUUGAAAUCUCUCUCAAGUUUAGGCAUGACUGUUAUGAAUUAAGAUUUGCUCUAAACCUGAACUUGUGGGAAGAGUACUUGAUCUAAAGUCUAAGUCGUUAACGGAUAUGAUAUGGAAAGGUUGAGCUGCUGUUUAUCUGUUCCUAGAGAUGCUAGAAUUCUGGAUAAUUUUAUCUUUGAAAAUCUUUAAAAUAACACAUGAUGAGUUCCUAUAUGCUGAGAGUUUAAAUUCCUACCAUAGCCAGAUAUACAUGCUUAAUAGACUAUGAACCAUAUAUUUACUUUUUACUCCUUAUGAGCAUUAAGUGUGGUCAAGCUGUGUAGACCCUUAGGAGCUUGUCAUGCGGUUAAAAUCAAGAUCCACUUGCACGUUCUCUCAUACAUGCUACUUCUACUUAGGAAGUACGCAUCCACAUACAUCCACUCAAUUCCAUCUCCAGAUUCACCUAAAAUUAUCUACUCCUAAUCUCGGAGAGAAUAGCCAAAAACAUUCUCCUAUUUCUGUUUUUCCCUGUGAAAUAAAUGCUCGAGUUAUCUUGGUUACUACCACUUGCUAUAUUAUUUCAGGAGAUGAGUGCUCUAAAAAAAGGAAAGAAGAAAGAAAAAAAAGAGAGAAAGGAUACGAGGAAAUAAAAAGCAGCAAGUGCCCGGAACCUCGAAGAAAAAAGAAAAAGUGAGACGAGAGGUAAAAAUGGACAAGUGUCCGACAGUAGAAUUAGGGGUACAAGAUACCCGCCUGAGGGAAAAGAAAAAGAAAAUAUAGAGCAUCUCAUACUCCUCAAUAAACUUCAAAGUGCAAGAAAGGUAUGUAUCCCCUUAAAAGAGCAAAAGUAGAAUUAGACUUUCACCAUUGUUAUCAUCAUCAUCACCAUACACCAUUCAUUCGCCACACAUGCACAUCUUGAUUUGACUUAUUAACUUGUUCUUCUAGAUCCAUGGUUUGACUAUGCAAUAAAUGUCUUGUAAGUAUGUAUACUUUAUCUCCCACCUAUGAGCUCCAGAUAUCAAAUCCUUAUUAGAGUAGGGUGAGAGAGAAGGCAAUGUCACUAUGCCUCGUACCAAAAAUACCACAUACUUUGAGAGAAGGCAUAUACCAUCACUGCCUUGGUAAGGAUCCAGAAAUACCACAAAGGAGAGACUAGAGAGAGUCAUACAAGGAAUCUCUGAGUUUUAUUUUGAAAAUCUACAAAAACUCCAGAGCUAUAGUUGAUCAAGAACAAGAGACAUGGCGCUUGACUUGACCGUUCUAUCUUUUAACUACUCAAGACACAAGUGACGGUUGCAAGCCCCAUGGUGAAAGGUAAAAUGAGUAAGUUUUAAAUCUUAGCAAUUUACUCUAACUCAAAGAUGAGAUUUUGCUUGAACGCAUGUGUACCUUUAAGGCAUGAAACCACUGCAGAAACUUUUGAGUCUAUCCUUGCUCAGGGAUGUUCGUUGACGGUCCUUAAGUACCAAAUAUAAUCAUCAAAUAAAUAAAGAAAAGGACCCAAAUGCAACCAACACCCAGACUUAGGGUUUUAUCUGACAGAAUUCCACAAGUUUUGGUGUUUGUCUAUUUCUGCAGGGGGUUAUCAGGAAAUAUGGAGGAAAGGCCCACACGUCGGGUUUACAUAGAGAUAUUAACGUGCCGCGUAAUUUUCUAUCAUCUAGAAGAGUCCAGAAGCCACGGGAACGAACAGAAGACCGAACGGGCCCGGGGGCAGGGCGCCCGCCCUCCCCCCUUGGGCGCCCACCCUGGUAAAAGCACCAAUCACAGAAUGGAGUACACCAUUACAAAGAUCUCGUCGAGCUGAUCGAAAUGCAUAUAUUAUUUGCUAUAUUUGGAGUUUGGAAUCACGAGAUAUUAAUAAAAGAAGGACUCCACAUAAAAGAGCUGCGGGAUUAUUUGGGCCCAAAUCAGAUUUUGGUCCAUUAAUGCCUAUGUGCAUUUUAAUGAGAUAUGGUGGAAAGUUUAAUACAACAUCGCCUGCUGAACCAAAAAGGCACAAAAGGAGGAGGCCAUAUAAGCAAAGCCCCUGGCCCCUGGAGGAGAACACUUCAUUAUAGAGUUGAGAGGUGCCCUCGAAGGAUAACCUUUCCUCUAUAUAGAAUUAGGGCUUAGCAUCCAAUGCGAGAUUAGAAUUAGUUCUUCUAAGAUCUUCUAGAUUCAGAGAGAUAGAGUGGAGGUGU